UGUAUUCUUCUUCAACACACACUGUUGACUAAUCCUGAGUUGAGUUCCACAUCCCUCAUUGUACAGGUUCCACAGCAACUGCCCGUUCUUAUCAGGAACUGAAACUAAACGGCACCCUUUGCCUCCUUCCUGUAUUCAUAUUCAGCAAAAACAUGUUUGAACAGAAUUUAAACUUUCUACACUUCCUCUUGUCUCCCUCAGUAACUUUACAUGCACACAAAGUUCCUAUUCACCCUUAAGUGACCCUUAACAUAUACAUGUCUUACACAUGUAAAGUAGUCAGUAUGUUCUAGUAUGAUGACAGGAAUGAGUAUAUUUCAAGCCAGAAUUCAACAGGUAGAAAAGUGAAUGUUUCGCUGUUUCUCAACUUCAUAAUUGUAUUGAUGUCAGUGAAGUCAUGUUUGUAACCUGCCCUACGUUUGACAACCACACUUCAGGAUAGUCAGACAGGAAAUGUCCAGAAGAAGGCUGAUGGGCUUUACCUCAGUGUGAAACAGAGGAAACACUACCUCUACUGUUUGACAGCCAUCUUGCAAUCAAAAAGGCAAUCUUGGACAGAUGGACGUUGCUGAACAGACUGCAGGAGGAAGAGAGGAUCCUGGUACAGGAGAUGAAGAGGCACUGAGGAAGCCUACAAAGAACAGUGGGAACUCUGGAAGCAUUGUCCCUGCAGCUGCAAGAUCAGAGCAAUGCAGUGGAGUUGUCAGAGAGAGGGAGGAAUGGCCUUCUCUGCCUCCUGAAGAGAAGAUUGAGUGAACCAACAAAAGACCAAGACAACAGCAGGAACGCCUACCACAAGCUGAUUCUGGGAGAAGGGGCUAUUUUUGAUGACUCUGAUGAAGAUGAGAACUCAGAUGAAGAUAGAAGUCCUAUUGCUGAGAGCUCAGAUGACGACUAUGGCGACAUCAGCAGCAACUCAGAAUGUUGGCUUAGGACUUCUUUACUGAGGAAUGUGGUUGUUGUUAAUGUUAUUUUAUUAUUAUAUAUUUUUUGUAUUUUCUAUGCUGCUGGGAUUGUGAUUUUGGUGUACCUUUGAGUUGCAAAAUAGUCCUUGGUCUCAAUUGGACUGCUAAAGUAAAUAGAUAAAGUAAAAGUCUUAAUAAAUAAAUCAAUAACA